AGAAUACUAACAAUGCUCUAAUUAGACCAUAAUAAUGGUAAGCAAGCUUAAUCAAAUUCAAAAAAACCUCAAAGAAAUUUCAAACAAAUAAUAAGAAUUCUUAAAAAAAAAUUAAAAUGAUCACAAAUAUCACUCAAAUACAUCUCAAUUCAAUCUUAAUUUGAUUCUAGUUAAAAUCCUAUUGAAAUUCAUUCAAACUUUAGGCCAAAACUAAUUGAAUCUUAAAUCCUAAUAAAAUCCUAAAUCCUAAAUCAAACCCUAAACAAACCUUAAAUCAAACCCCAACAAAAUCCUAAACCAAAUCCUAACCAAAUCCUAAACCAAAUUCUAAAACCUAAAUAAAACCCUAACUAAAUCCUAAUCCAAAUCCUAAAUCCUAAACCAAACCCUAAAUAAAUCCUAAAUCCUAAACCAAAUCUUAACUAAACCCUAA
rnacentral:lncRNA from 1 species